GGGGCUGUAGCUCAGUUGGGAGAGCGCUACAUUCGCAUUGUAGAGGUCGAGGGUUCGAUUCCCUUCAGCUCCA
rnacentral:tRNA from 3 species